AGUGAACGCUGGCGGCGUGCUUAACACAUGCAAGUCGAACGAGAACGGGUUAUAGCUUGCUAUAAUUGUCAGCUAAGUGGCGCACGGGUGAGUAAUGUAUAGGUAAUAUGCCUCUUACUAAGGGAUAACAAAUGGAAACGUUUGCUAAUACCUUAUACUCCUUAUUAACAGAAGUUAAUAAGGGAAAGAUUUAUUGGUAAGAGAUUAGCCUGUAUUGUAUCAGUUAGUUGGUGAGGUGAUGGCUUACCAAGACUAUGACACAUAACUGGUUUGAGAGGAUGAUCAGUCACACUGGAACUGAGACACGGUCCAGACUCCUACGGGAGGCAGCAGUGGGGAAUAUUGCACAAUGGACGAAAGUCUGAUGCAGCAACGCCGCGUGGAGGAUGACACAUUUCGGUGCGUAAACUCCUUUUAUAUGAGAAGAUAAUGACGGUAUUAUAUGAAUAAGCACCGGCUAACUCCGUGCCAGCCGCCGCUGUAAAAC
rnacentral:rRNA from 1 species